UNCCCGGGCUCAACCUGGGAACUGCGUUNUGAACUGGGUGACUAGAGUGUGUCAGAGGGAGGUAGAAUUCCACGUGUAGCAGUGAAAUGCGUAGAGAUGUGGAGGAAUACCGAUGGCGAAGGCAGCCUCCUGGGAUAACACUGACGUUCAUGCCCGAAAGCGUGGGUAGCAAACAGGAUUAGAUACCCUAGUAGUCCACGCCCUAAACGAUGUCGAUUAGCUGUUGGGCAGCAUGACUGCUUAGUAGCGAAGCUAACGCGUGAAAUCGACCGCCUGGGGAGUACGGUCGCAAGAUUAAAACUCAAAGGAAUUGACGGGGACCCGCACAAGCGGUGGAUGAUGUGGAUUAAUUCGAUGCAACGCGAAGAACCUUACCUGGUCUUGACAUGUACGGAACCCUCCAGAGACGGAGGGGUGCCUUCGGGAGCCGUAACACAGGUGCUGCAUGGCUGUCGUCAGCUCGUGUCGUGAGAUGUUGGGUUAAGUCCCGCAACGAGCGCAACCCUUGUCAUUAGUUGCCAUCAUUAAGUUGGGCACUCUAAUGAGACUGCCGGUGACAAGCCGGAGGAAGGUGGGGAUGACGUCAAGUCCUCAUGGCCCUUAUGACCAGGGCUUCACACGUCAUACAAUGGUCGGUACAGAGGGUAGCCAAGCCGCGAGGUGGAGCCAAUCUCACAAAACCGAUCGUAGUCCGGAUUGCACUCUGCAACUCGAGUGCGUGAAGUCGGAAUCGCUAGUAAUCGCAGGUCAGCAUACUGCGGUGAAUACGUUCCCGGGUCUUGUACACACCGCCCGUCACACCAUGGGAGUGGGGGAUACCAGAAGUAGGUAGGGU
rnacentral:rRNA from 1 species